GAUGAACGCUAGCGGCAGGCCUAACACAUGCAAGUCGAGGGGUAGCAGGAUUAAGCUUGCUUAAUUGCUGACGACCGGCGCACGGGUGCGUAACGCGUAUGCAACCUACCUUAUACUGGGGUAUAGCCCGGAGAAAUUCGGAUUAAUCCCCCAUAGUACUAAUGAAUCGCAUGGUUUAUUAGUUAAAGCAUUGCGGUAUAAGAUGGGCAUGCGUCCUAUUAGCUAGAUGGUGAGGUAACGGCUCACCAUGGCUACGAUAGGUAGGGGGCCUGAGAGGGUGGUCCCCCACACUGGUACUGAGACACGGACCAGACUCCUACGGGAGGCAGCAGUGAGGAAUAUUGGUCAAUGGGCGCAAGCCUGAACCAGCCAUGCCGCGUGCAGGAAGAAUGCCCUAUGGGUUGUAAACUGCUUUUAUUUGGGAAUAAACCUCUUUACGUGUAGAGAGCUGAAGGUACCAAAUGAAUAAGCACCGGCUAACUCCGUGCCAGCCGCCGCGGUAA
rnacentral:rRNA from 1 species